ensembl:ncRNA F27C1.17 ncRNA
ACCGGCUGUCAGUUCAGUAGAGCGCAUUUGGUGCUGCAAUUUUUAGACAAUUUUUUUUGUGGAGUUUUCUUGUUUGCAAACUU